GUUUAUACCACGCAUUAAUCGAAUCCGCAUCGACUCAAUACGCUUUCUUGCCAAGUGUUUAUGCAAUAGACUUAAAACCGUGUUCAGUGCAACCGCUUUGUAAUGCAUGUCGAAUCAGCUGUUUUCUGUUGAUAUUCCUUCAUUGGUGUUAAAUUCACCGAGAUGAACGGAGAAAACAAUUCUAAAAACUUGCUUUUUACACAAGAAUGAUAGAAUACAAGAUUACGACGACCGCCAUUACGAAACGUCAUAGUUCCAUGUUGAGAAGAAAAAGAGUAAAAAUCUGUCAAAUGGCUUGCAAAUAGUAAAUAGAAAAGUAAACACUUUUGUAAAUUCGCAAAAUAUUAUUAAUUCUUUCGAUUUUAAUGAAAAGUUUUAGUGAAGCGAUUGAAUAUUGUUGAGUGAAAAGAUUUGAAUCAUUUCUAAAGAAAUAUAUCGGCCUAUUGAUAAUAAAAUUGUCUAUUAAGUUGUGAUUCAAAUGGAGAAGACGUUUCUUGUGUUGUAUAUAAAUAUAUACAUAUAUUAUAAGUUCAGAUGUAUCAGAUGUAUGAAAAUAUGAUAAAAGAAUUGUGAAAUUAUUAAUUUAGUAUUAAAUAUAUCAUUUCUUUUGCAAAAUAACACCCAUUUUUUGGCAACUUUUAAAUCGGCCGGAAAAUUGAAAAACCUCGUUUUCGAUCCUUUAAUUGCAUAAUAAUUAUUACAAAAAGCCACUGCACAUUUCAUUUUAAAAAAUUAAUAUAUUUAUGCUUAGAAAUUUAAAUAAAUACAACAGUACACUUACACUGGUUUUCUUCAUUUGAACAAUUUCCACACAUGCUACUCUAUUUAUUGUGGAUGUGCCUAAAACUAAUUAUAUACAUAUUUUCUCGCAACAAUAUUCUAAACAUUCUACUGAAAUUUUUCCUACAAAGACGAAUGAAUUAAUAUUAUUUUGGGAAUUUCAAAAAGUGUUUAGUUUUCUGUUUACAAUUUGUAUGCAUUUCUAUGCUUGUUCUUCUCAACGCAAAACUGUUACGUCACGAAAUUGUUGAACAAUGUAUUUGUUUUUCGGUGAAAAGAAAGAGGUCUAUUUGUAUAAAUCAACAUUUGACUGCGGAUUCAGACAUAUUCAAGUUGCUUGACAAAAGAAAGGAAAACUUAAAAGAAUUUUGGGUUUCACACAGCAAUGUUCCAAAUUUAUUUUUAACAACCAAUAUGCCGCGAAUUCGUAGUUUAUAGAAAAGGAAACGAAACGACAACUGUUGGUGGAUCCUCAAACAGCCAGUUCGAAGCGUUCUGAAUGAGCAAGAAGUCUUUCUUAUUGCUUUGUGAAAAACUGGAUCCUUUUCUCAGAAGGGACUGUGAGCCGUCACUUUGCCUCUUCCAACAGAGAGAUGGUGUACAUAAAAGCACAGUUCACAAAUACUUCCAUUUAGUAGUGAGUGACUUAAUACAACUGAAAAAUGAAAUGAUCAAGUUUCCAAAAUUGGAAGACGCAUUAAUAAUUGCAAAUGAAUUCGAAAAGAAGUCUUGUAUUAUAAACAUUAUUGGUGCAAUUGAUGGUACCCAUGUUCCAGUCUUGCCGCCAAGUGAUGGAUUCUUAGAUUUUAUAAAUAGAAAAGGAUGGCCUUCGAUUGUAAUGCAAGGGGUCGUAGAUAACAACUAUUUAUAAGAAGAUAUGUAGAAAAACGUACAUUUUGGUGUAAAUUAUUAAACAUUGUGUUCUAUUAAUACAGGUUUACAGACGUCAGCGUGAAGCUUCCAGGUAGUACUCACGAUGCGACGGUAUUUAAGGAAUCAGGAAUAUUCAAAAACUGCUCAACCAGUAUUCCAAUAUACACAAAAUUGGUAAAUAAUAUAGAAACGCCUUUAUUUCUUGUUUGGGACCCUGCAUAUCCUCUUCUUCCAUGGUUGAUGAAGCCAUUUAUUGGCAACUUAAAUGCUGAAGAGGAAUCGUUCAAUUGCCACUCAGUUGAGUUCCGCACAAAUAGUGGUAGUAAACGCAUUCGGCAGAUUGAAAGGACGCUGGCGAUGCAUUGCAAAACGAAUCGAUGUCGACCCUGCUUUCGUUCCACAAGUUGUUCUGGCUUGUGCAAUUCUACACAACUAUGUUGAGCAGCAGAAGGAAUCAUAUUUGGAGUUCUGGUCCCAAUCCGUCCAAGAAGAUAUACAUUACUUACAGCCACAAGAUACUAUUACAAGUGAGAUAAUUAGCGAAAGAACCAUCCAUCCCAAAGAUUUGCGAAAUAAUAUUAAAAAUUGGCUGAAAGACAAUUAUCCUUUACGAACAUCACAUUUCUAACAAUUUUUUCCUACUCAUAAAUAUUUCAGUUAGCGGAAUCAUACUAUUGAAUAUACUCGUAUUAUUAUAUUAAUUAUAUGUAUGUGCUAACCCCUAUUUCCUUAAUAUAAGAAAAUCGCUGUGUAAACUUUAAGAGUUUAAAAACGUGUAUUAGAAAAUUAAAAAGCUCUUACAAUUCAUUAAAUAAUAUGACUUAAAAAGUUAACAGCUAAUAUCAAGGUCAUGUUAUUUAGCUGGAGAUGACUGCGGCGUGGAUGCAAAAAUACCAUUACAUUCCGGAGUUGGCG